UAAGUUCCAUUUUGUAUCACAAGAGCUAAAAAAUAAUGUGUAUUUAAAUUAGAGUAAAUAAUGUGUAUUUAAUUCGAAUAAUUAGAACUUUACCUUUAAUUUCUCCUAGCUUUGGCCGUUGCUGUCUGUGUUGUGAUGGUUGUGUUGUUUGAAAGUGGGAUUCCACCUUCUAUGCUAGUGUUUAUGUGAACCCCUGAUUACGGAUGUUAAGAGGUAUUUUAAACUGAUUGCUAAAGAAUGUCACAGAAAUACUCAUUUGUUUUGCUUUAUUCUUUUGUGGAAUACAAUAUUUCAUAUGAGAAGGUAAUUUCUCUUCAUGAGUAGGUCUCCUACACUUGAAUCAAAGAAAUGCUGUGACUUGUCAGGAUGUGAUACAGGUGGAGGGGUUAUUUUUGUGUCAUAAUCUGUGUAUCCUCAUUUCUUGGCAGCUUUGUCUUCCAGUAGAGGAAAAAUUUAAGGAACAGCUGAAAUCUGUUUCUUAUCAUCAUGUUUUCUAGAGAAUGGAGCAACCCCACUUGUCAUCUGUUCACUCAGUAUCCAUCUAUGCUGUUGGUUCUGUAAGAUUUCCCUUGAGAUUAAAAUGUUGAAAGACAGCUUCAUUCCUUUCAUGCUCCAGUCCUUUUCAUAACACCUGCUCCAUAAAUGCACAUCACUCGAGUGGAAUUGUAUUUUGUGUAAAUCUGGUUUGAUAAACUGUAAAAAUGGCAAAACAUACAUUUAAAGAAGUUGGUAUUCAUAUAUCAUGCUGGGUACUUCUUUAAAAAAUAAUUCUAAACUAUGGCAUAUCAUUGAGAGGAGAAGGAUAGAACUGCCAGAGAGAAAAGGCCUUCAGUCCAGAUGAAGUUAUGACUUUGUGCAGUGAGUUCCUUCCUCUGGAAAGAAGUAUUAGCUGCAAUAAUCUGGCCACAUUCCAAGUUGGUCAAUGGUAUGCUGCCUCCCUAAAUUCUGCAGCUUCGAUUACAUUCAUUGUCCUAGUGCACGUCCUGUCAGGAAUGGUCGCGUUGAUCUGCCAGUUAAAACAGCUGUUGCUUCUGAUGCAUGAGAAACUACGAAAGUCACUCUCUUAUCCAUCACCGAUGUAGGAGUUAGAAACUGAAAGCCCAGUGACCAGGAGAGACAGACAGAGAGAGAGAGAGAAAGGAAGAGAAAGGAAGAAGAAGAAGAAGAAGGGGAAGAGGAAGAAGAAGAAGAAGAGGAAGAAGAGGAAGAGGAGGAAGAGGGAGAAGAGAGAGAUCACAUCGUUUUGAAGUAUUUUCAACUGCUCUUCAUUUAUUUUAAUAUAUUCCCUCAACUUGUCUAUUAAUUGGCAAAAAAACAACUUGAUUACACUUAUUUUGAGUUUUUAAGAUUUUCCAGACAUUCCAAUUAGGAUAGACUGACCUACUUUUCUUGGUGAUAACACAAAAGAGAUUACUUUUGUCAGUUGUACUGUGUAUCUAAAAAUCAGCACCACAAAAGCCACAUAUUGAACACUUUUUGUUAGCAUGAUGCUAUUUUGCCUAAUACACAUUCUUGCCUUGUAAAACACCCAAAAUUUUGCUUCCAUAUAAAUAUGCUGAUCACAAAAUAAUCUUUACCUUUUUUAAAAAUAAUAAGAUGAUCUAUGUCUAUUUUCCCAUUCCCAGGCAGAGAAGAAAUAAGAACUGUGUUUUGCCCCCAGUUAAGCUACACAUAUUGCUUGAUGUUUUUCUCCACUUCCACAUUGAGCAUCGAGAUAUUUAAAACUUCCAACAGCCUGAAAAUAUUCAAAUAGAUUGAAUGGGGUAAAAAAAAAAACCAAAAUUUUGCCUUUUAUGGUUAAAGACAAAUUCCCCAAACAGUGCAGGCACACAGUGGUUGCAUAGUUAGUGCUUACUGGACUGAAUUAUUGCAUCCUUUUUCCGCAUUUAUUUCUAGGAAGCAGUUUAAAGUACAAAAUAUAUUUAAAUAUUGAUUUUUUUAAGAAAACCUUGGCUUCUAUGAUGAAGUCCAACUUAACAGCAUAUGUUAAAUCAUUAACUCUAUUAGAAAGUGAUGAGUACCAACAGUGGAGAGAAAUAUGCUACAGUUACUUAUUUAUACACAGUCUUCCUAUUUUUAUAUUUUUUUUAGUUACUGAAAUGGAACCAUAAGCCAGAGGGCAAUGCAUUCUUUCUCUCUACCACCAGAUGCACACAAUUGAACUAUUGCUUACAAGGAGGAUCCUUGUUAUUUCACAUGCGAUCAUCGAGAAACACAUGGAGAGUGAUUAUGUGUUCUACGUCCUGCUGUUUUAAAGCAAAUAAAAGUUCAUCUGUA